rnacentral:rRNA from 1 species
AUGGCUGCGGCAGUCACUCGCAGAUCCAACGCCCUCCGCGUCGACGUCCCGGAUGGCGACGCCGUUGCCGUCUCUGUCGCGGCGGACUCCCCCGUGGCCAAACGGGGCCUUGGCGCCAAGGACGAGGUGUGGGUUGCCGCCGAUGAGGGAGGCAUCAUGUCGGGCGACGGCAACCGGCCUCUGCUGUUCCGGACCAUGAAGGUCAAGGGAAGCAUCCUGCACCCUUACAGGUUCUUGAUGCUCGUGCGCUUGGUCGCCGUCGUCGUCUUCUUCAAGUGGCGCGUGGAGCACAAGAAUCACGACGGUGUGUGGCUCUGGACCGCGUCUAUGACUGCCGAUGCCUGGUUCGGCUUCUCAUGGCUCCUCAACCAGCUCCCCAAGCUCAACCCCAUCAAGCGCGUCCCGGACCUCGCCGCCCUUGCAGACCGACACGACGAUGCCACCCUUCCAGGGAUUGAUGUCUUCGUCACCACAGUCGAUCCCGUGGAUGAGCCCGUCCUAUACACUGUAAACACCAUCCUCUCCAUCCUCGCUGCCGACUACCCGGUCGACAAUUACGCCUGUUACAUCUCAGAUGACGGUGGCACGUUGGUGCACUAUGAAGCGAUGGUCCAGGUUGCCAGUUUUGCUGCGUUGUGGGUCCUGUUUUGCCGGAAGCAUUGCGUCGAGCCAAGGUCCCCCGAGAGCUAUUUUGGGAUGAAGACACGGUCCUACGCCGGGGGUAUGGCAGGAGAAUUCAUGAGGGAUCAUAGGCGUGUCCGCAGAGAAUAUGAGGAGUUCAAGGUGAGAAUAGACUCCCUUUCUACGACCAUCCGCCAACGAUCUGAUGCCUACAACUCGAAUAACAAAGGAGGUGUAAGUGCCACCUGGAUGGCUGAUGGGACACAAUGGCCGGGUACAUGGGUUGAGCAAGCCGAGAACCACCGAAGAGGACAACAUGCUGGAAUUGUUCAGGUCCUACUAGACCAUCCAAGCUUUAAGCCACAGCUUGGAUCACCCGCAAGCACCGACAAUCCAUUUGACUUCAGCAACGUUGACACGAGACUCCCCAUGCUCGUCUACAUUUCUCGAGAGAAGCGCCCUGGUUAUGACAACCAAAAGAAGGCAGGUGCCAUGAACGUGAUGCUCCGUGUCUCCGCACUGCUCUCCAACGCGCCCUUCGUCAUCAACUUUGACUGCGACCACUACAUCAACAACUCACAAGCUCUCCGUGCCCCUAUGUGCUUCAUGCUCGACCCUCAUGACGGUCAGAACACGGCGUUCGUCCAGUUCCCGCAACGGUUUGACGACGUCGACCCAACUGAUCGCUACGCCAACCACAACCGUGUCUUCUUUGACGGCACCAUGCUUGCGCUCAACGGCCUCCAAGGGCCUACCUACCUCGGCACCGGCACCAUGUUCCGUCGUGUCGCGCUCUAUGGCAUCGAGCCGCCACACUAUAGAGCAGAGAAUACUAAACUUGUUUGUAAGACAGGUGAGUUUGGUUACUCGACGUCAUUCAUCAACUCGGUGCCGGAUGCCGCGAUCCAAGAUCGAUCUAUCACCCCGGUGUUGGUCGACGAGCGCCUCAGCAAGGACCUAGCUACCUUGAUGACGUGUGCUUACGAGGACGGGAGCUCAUGGGGGAGAGAUGCCGGGUGGGUGUACAACAUCGCGACGGAGGACGUGGUGACAGGAUUCCGCAUUCAUCGGCAAGGGUGGCAUUCCAUGUACUGCUCCAUGGAACCCGCGGCAUUUCGUGGAACGGCUCCGAUCAACCUCACCGAGCGCCUCUACCAAGUGCUUCGGUGGUCUGGCGGGUCCCUCGAGGUGUUCUUCUCCCACAACAAUGCCCUCAUCGCCAGCCGCCGGCUCCACCCUCUGCAGCGCAUCACCUACCUCAACAUGUCGACGUACCCGAUCGUCACGGUGUUCAUCUUGUCCUACAAUUUCUUCCCGGUCAUGUGGCUCUUCUCCGAGCAGCUCUACAUCCAGAGGCCAUUCGGCACGUACAUGGCGUACCUUGUCGGCAUCAUAGCGAUGGUGCACUUGAUCGGCAUGUUUGAGGUGAGAUGGUCGGGGAUCACGUUGCUAGACUGGUUCCGCAACGAGCAGUUCUACAUGAUUGGGGCGACGGGUGUGUACCCAACAGCGGUGCUCUACAUGUUGCUGAAGCUCGUCACGGGGAAAGGGAUAUACUUUAGGCUCACAUCCAAGCAAACGGAGGGCUGCUCCAACGACAAGUUCGCCGAUCUCUACACAGUGCGGUGGGUGCCGCUGUUGAUCCCGACCGCCGCAGUCAUCAUCGUCAAUGUCGCGGCCAUCGGGGCAGCAAUAGGCAAGGCGGCGACAUGGGGCUUCUUCACAGACGAGGCGCGACAUGCGCUUCUCGGGAUGGUGUUCAACAUGGGGAUCCUCGUGCUCCUCUACCCGUUUGCACUUGGCAUCAUGGGGAAGUGGGGGAAGAGACCCAUCAUCUUGUUCAUUGUGUUGGUCAUGGCCAUCAGCGUCGUCGGGCUCUUGUAUGUCACGCUGCACGCCCCGUACACAGGAGAAUGGUCACAAGUUGCCGUUUCUCUCGGGAAAGCAUCGCUGACCGGGCCAUCUGGAUCUGGGUAG